rnacentral:siRNA from 1 species
GGAUGCUAAUUUUAUGGUC